UACGUAGGGUGCAAGCGUUGUCCGGAAUUAUUGGGCGUAAAAGAGCUCGUAGGCGGUUCGUCGCGUCGGCUGUGAAAACCCGGAGCUCAACUCCGGGCCUGCAGUCGAUACGGGCGGACUUGAGUGUUGCAGGGGAGACUGGAAUUCCUGGUGUAGCGGUGAAAUGCGCAGAUAUCAGGAGGAACACCGGUGGCGAAGGCGGGUCUCUGGGCCGUAACUGACGCUGAGGAGCGAAAGCGUGGGGAGCGAACAGG
rnacentral:rRNA from 1 species